AAUGGAAUAACUGGGUCAAAUGGUGGUUCCAUUCCAAGUUUUCUGAGGAAUCUACAUGCUGCUUUCCAGAGUGGUUGUACCAAUUUGCAGUUCCACCAAUAAU
rnacentral:pre_miRNA from 1 species